GGCGGAGUCAGACAGGUAAUAACCUGCUCUUAUUCUGUAUGAUGCUGCUGCAGCUGCCGUCUGCUCUCUAGACACUAAAGUGCCAACCUGACUCAUUUGGCGUGUAUGUGUGUGUGUGUGUGUGUGCGUGUGUGUGCGUGUGUGUGUAUGUGUGUGUAUGUGUGUGUAUCAUCAUUGAAGAUUUGCUUUAUUCAAACUCAUAACUCUUGAAAAUUUCUCUUCCAUUUACAGUAGCGCUCUCUCUCUCUCUCUCUCUCUCUCCCUCUCUCUCUCUCUCUCUGUGCAUUGUGACCUUGCUGCCAGGCACCGCAGGCUUGUCGAAGUGUGUGUUCAAUCAAGAGCUAUUUUUUCUCUCCAACACACAGUGAAGAAUGAUGAGACUUGGACACAACAGGAAGCUUAAACACCUGCAGGAUGGAAGUUUCUAGAACAGCCCGAUCCUCUCCCUUAGACAGCGUACAGCAGUCCACCCUCAGCCACAUGAAGACCUCAGGCUUCAACAAGGGUCAAAGUACAUCAGCUGAGUCCCAGAGAGCCUUAAGUCCAUGCCAGGGGACUCGGAGCACUAGGUGUGGAUCCCCCUGCAUGUGGUGCUAACCCAUGGCAAGGACGUUACCUCACACCGUAUCCCCUCUCAGUCCUGCUUUCUAUUUCAUUCUCCUCCAAAACUUCACAUCUCCAGACCUCUUCAUCUACAGAUCAGUAGCCCAAGAGAAACAUCCUGAAGUCUACACUAAUUUCUCUUUCAUUUACAGUAGCUCUCUCACAGCUCUCUCUCUCUCUCUCUCUCUCUCUCUCUCUCUCUCUCUCUCUCUCUCUCUCUCUCUCCAAAUAAAACCUGCUUUU